UACGUAGGCGCACAGUGUUGCCGGAAUUAUUGGGCGUAAAGAGCUCGUAGGCGGUUUGUCGCGUCUGCUGUGAAAGCCCGGGGCUCAACCCCGGGUCUGCAGUGGGUACGGGCAGACUAGAGUGCAGUAGGGGAGACUGGAAUUCCUGGUGGUAGCGGUGAAAUGCGCAGAUAUCAGGAGGAACACCGAUGGCGAAGGCAGGUCUCUGGGCUGUUACUGACGCUGAGGAGCGAAAGCAUGGGGAGCGAACAGGAUUAGAUACCCCGUGUC
rnacentral:rRNA from 1 species